UCAGUCUUUGGAGUUACACGGACGUAGUUCUACACGAUUGGCAAAAUAAAAAUUCCUUUUUUCCUUGCCUGCACGUGUUUCUGUGGCCCGCGAUGCAUCCGCCACCGCCUUAAUUCCCACGAAUCAAUAUGCCGUCACGUGCCGUCCGCCAUCCGCCCGUGCCCCACUAGCCUCGGCGUUCGCUGCCGUCGACCCCCUCGCCAUCCACUGGUCGCUCACGCCACCGCCCG
rnacentral:lncRNA from 1 species